rnacentral:rRNA from 1 species
CUUUACACAUGCAAGUCGAACGGUAACAGGCCGCAAGGUGCUGACGAGUGGCGAACGGGUGAGUAAUGCAUCGGAACGUGCCCAGUCGUGGGGGAUAACGCAGCGAAAGCUGUGCUAAUACCGCAUACGAUCUAUGGAUGAAAGCGGGGGACCGUAAGGCCUCGCGCGAUUGGAGCGGCCGAUGUCAGAUUAGGUAGUUGGUGGGGUAAAGGCCCACCAAGCCAACGAUCUGUAGCUGGUCUGAGAGGACGACCAGCCACACUGGAACUGAGACACGGUCCAGACUCCUACGGGAGGCAGCAGUGGGGAAUUUUGGACAAUGGGCGCAAGCCUGAUCCAGCAAUGCCGCGUGCAGGAAGAAGGCCUUCGGGUUGUAAACUGCUUUUGUACGGAACGAAACGGUCUGGGUUAAUACCUCGGGCUAAUGACGGUACCGUAAGAAUAAGCACCGGCUAACUACGUGCCAGCAGCCGCGGUAAUACGUAGGGUGCAAGCGUUAAUCGGAAUUACUGGGCGUAAAGCGUGCGCAGGCGGUUUUGUAAGACAGUCGUGAAAUCCCCGGGCUCAACCUGGGAAUUGCGAUUGUGACUGCAAAGCUGGAGUGCGGCAGAGGGGGAUGGAAUUCCGCGUGUAGCAGUGAAAUGCGUAGAUAUGCGGAGGAACACCGAUGGCGAAGGCAAUCCCCUGGGCCUGCACUGACGCUCAUGCACGAAAGCGUGGGGAGCAAACAGGAUUAGAUACCCUGGUAGUCCACGCCCUAAACGAUGUCAACUGGUUGUUGGGUCUCUUCUGACUCAGUAACGAAGCUAACGCGUGAAGUUGACCGCCUGGGGA